CCUACGGGAGGCUGCAGUGGGGAAUAUUGGGCAAUGGGCGCAAGCCUGACCCAGCGACGCCGCGUGAAUGAAGAAGGAUUUCGGGUUGUAAACUUCUUUUGUCAGGGACGAAGCAGGUGACGGUACCUGACGAAUAAGCCACGGAUAACUACGUGCCAGCAGCCGCGGUAAUACGUAGGUAGGAAGCGUUAUCCGGAUUUACGGGGUGUAAAGGGGGUGUAGGCGGGACUGCAAGUCAGAUGUGAAAACCACGGGCUCAACCUGUGGCCUGCAUUUGAAACUGUAGUUCUUGAGUACUGGGGAGGCAGACGGAAUUCCUAGUGUAGCGGUGAAAUGCGUAGAUAUUAGGAGGAACACCAGUGGCGAAGGCGGUCUGCUGGACAGCAACUGACGCUGAGGCGCGAAAGCGUGGGGAGCAAACAGGAUUAGAUACCCCGGUAGUC
rnacentral:rRNA from 1 species